rnacentral:lncRNA from 1 species
UUUUUCUCUUUGCACGUGUGUUUGUUUUGAUAUUUUGGGUUUUAAAGAAAGUUUUAUUCUUGAAUAAUUAUCAUAAAUGUAUAGUACGUUUACUUAGAUAUAUAUGCAGUGAAUUCAAGAGUAACAUGUGAAGACUAUAAUGAAAUCGUAAAUCUUGAAGAUCAGUCUACAGUAUACAUUUCAAAUGCCUUCAUCCUGUUUUAUUCAAAGGGUCAUGAUUUCAGUUCAGUAUUGGGUGUGAAAGCAAAUUUGUAUGUUUUUUGAAAGGCUCCAUUCUUUUACAGUGGCAGAUACAACCUUUUACUAUGAAGCCAAUGUUUUUUUACUGACCUGGGAAAAUGAACAUGACUAAUGAAAUCUACAGUAAUAAGGAAAUUUGCAGAAACAUUUCUAAUAUUAGUAGCUUCUAUUUGAAUAUAUUUUUUAAAUUCUUCCUGCUUUAAGGCCAAAUAAAUGAAACAUGUUUGAUGUUUCCUUGUUUCAUGCGGCUAUCUCUUGUUGUUACUGGCAAAACACAAAGGCAAUCUUGUAGAAAUGCUCAUAUUGUCAGCAAUUUAUCAGACCUGCCAACUCACCCGAUCCUGUCGGGUGUCACCCGAUAUCUAAACAAAUCUCCAGUUCUCCCAGAUCGAAUGUAGUUUUUAACCGAUUUCACUGAUUUUGCAGGUUCCAUCCGCAAAAUACUCUGAUUUAUGCAUAAAUGAUUUAUUGGAUCAUUAUUAUCCAAUGUAUUCGCCUCGAUACACAAGCAGCAAUUUAAUAAGUUGUUUUGCAGUAAUUUUGUACCAUUGAUUUUAUACCACUAUGAUUUGUCUGGACGUGUCUUUUUUAGUACAUUGGAUCAUCUUUUUGGUAAUACUGGAAACCUCCAGAUUUUUUAGUAAAUCUCCAGAUUUUUUUAAGAUUUAAAAAAAAGAUUUUCAUGACCCAGGGGUUGGCAGAUCUGAUUUAUGCUCAUAUUGUCAUUAGCCAUUUAUGCUCAUACUGUAGUGUCAGCAAAUUGUGCUCACAUUGUCAGCAACUUAUACUCAUAUUGUCAGUAACUUGUGUCAUAUUGUCAGCAACUUAUGCUCAUAUUGUCAGCAACUCUUAUCCUUAUAUUGUCAGCAACUUACACUCAUGUUGUAAUAGUAAUUUUUAUGCUCAUAUUGUCAGCAACUUAUCCUCAUUGUCAGCAAAUUAUGCUCAUAUUGUCAAUAACGUAUAUUGCUCAUAUUGUCAGCACAUUUGCUCAUGUUGUCAGCAAAUUAUGCUCAUAUUGUCAACAACCUAUGCUAAUAUUGUCAGCAACUUAUGCUCAUAUUGUAUUGUCCUGGUAUUAUAGAGAAGCGAAAUCCAAAGACAAUAUUAAUGAAGUUUCUCAAUUUUUUUCCUCUCAUAAAUCAUCCUCAAAUUAAAUGAUACAAAUGCUCUAAAAUGCAAGUAUUACAGUAUCCUCAAGUGUCUGUAUCUGAUGACAAAAAACAAAAACAAGACAUUAAAAAAACAAUCAUUCUAAAACCAUGUACAGACUAAUCAAAUUUUAUUUGACAAAAACAUGUGAUAUGCCUAAAUAUGGUCAUGAUGACAUCACAUCAUGGGAAUGCAACAGUUUUUUAAGUUACUGCACUAUUAGCCUCUAUUAUUACAUCCACUGUAAGCAGUCAUUUUAUACAUAUAAACAUGUACUAAAUCAUCACAAUAAACAUUAUUAGAUUUUUCUAUGCAAAGUCAAUCAUUGGUAUUAAAUAGCAGUCGCUCUCAGUAAACAUAUAUUAAAUUUGUAGCGUAUGGAGACUCGCUUCCUGGAAGCUAAACAAUGAAGGAAAAUUAAUUCCAUAAUAAACAAAGCUAUCAAAGUACAGAUACUGAAUUAUUUAAACAGAUACUGAAAUUAAUUUUAGCAGUGUCUUUCUUGGAAAUUAUCGGCUAUCAAAGGGAUACUGCUGUUCAACUAUUAAACUAUUCAACUAUUAAGGAAAACAAAGGAGAGCAAUGCAUUUUUAAUGCUUAUUUGAAUAUUUUUAUAUCCUCUAAAUACCUUUUAAAUUAAAUUUGCUCAUUUAUUGAUUUUUACACAUUUUUCUAUAUUUCAAUAUUUAUCUUUCGAUUUUUUUUCUUUUUGAAGAAUGUUGUAUUGUAAGUAUUUGUGUUUUUCUCGUGAAGGGCCUCCACUCGACAGUGAUUGAUUUUAUUUUGGAAUGUCCUGUCUCUUUUUUUGUACUUUUAUGAUUGUUCUUUGCCGUUUCUGUUAUAUGUACAUUUUAA